rnacentral:rRNA from 1 species
UACGUAGGGGGCUAGCGUUGUCCGGAAUCAUUGGGCGUAAAGCGCACGUAGGCGGAUUGUUAAGUCAGGGGUGAAAUCCUGGAGCUCAACUCCAGAACUGCCUUUGAUACUGACGGUCUUGAGUCCGGGAGAGGUGAGUGGAACUCCGAGUGUAGAGGUGAAAUUCGUAGAUAUUCGGAAGAACACCAGUGGCGAAGGCGGCUCACUGGCCCGGUACUGACGCUGAGGUGCGAAAGCGUGGGGAGCAAACAGG